rnacentral:rRNA from 1 species
CUGUCGAGCGGACGUUUUUGAAGCUUGCUUCAAAAAGCGUUAGCGGCGGACGGGUGAGUAACACGUGGGCAACCUACCUUAUCGACUGGGAUAACUCCGGGAAACCGGGGCUAAUACCGGAUAACAUCUAGCACCUCCUGGUGCCGGAUUAAAAGAGGGCUUCUUGCUCUCACGAUGAGAUGGGCCCGCGGCGCAUUAGCUAGUUGGAGAGGUAACGGCUCCCCAAGGCGACGAUGCGUAGCCGACCUGAGAGGGUGAUCGGCCACACUGGGACUGAGACACGGCCCAGACUCCUACGGGAGGCAGCAGUAGGGAAUCUUCCGCAAUGGACGAAAGUCUGACGGAGCAACGCCGCGUGAGUGAUGAAGGGUUUCGGCUCGUAAAGCUCUGUUAUGAGGGAAGAACACGUACCGUUCGAAUAGGGCGGUACCUUGACGGUACCUCAUCAGAAAGCCACGGCUAACUACGUGCCAGCAGCCGCGGUAAUACGUAGGUGGCAAGCGUUGUCCGGAAUUAUUGGGCGUAAAGCGCGCGCAGGCGGCCUUUUAAGUCUGAUGUGAAAUCUUGCGGCUCAACCGCAAGCGGCCAUUGGAAACUGGGAGGCUUGAGUACAGAAGAGGAGAGUGGAAUUCCACGUGUAGCGGUGAAAUGCGUAGAUAUGUGGAGGAACACCAGUGGCGAAGGCGACUCUCUGGUCUGUAACUGACGCUGAGGCGCGAAAGCGUGGGGAGCAAACAGGAUUAGAUACCCUGGUAGUCCACGCCGUAAACGAUGAGUGCUAGGUGUUAGGGGUUUCGAUGCCCGUAGUGCCGAAGUUAACACAUUAAGCACUCCGCCUGGGGAGUACGGCCGCAAGGCUGAAACUCAAAGGAAUUGACGGGGGCCCGCACAAGCAGUGGAGCAUGUGGUUUAAUUCGAAGCAACGCGAAGAACCUUACCAGGUCUUGACAUCCUUUGACCACUCUGGAGACAAAGCUUCCCCUUCGGG